rnacentral:rRNA from 1 species
AGAGUUUGUAGUCCUGGCUCAGGAUGAACGCUGGCGGCGUGCCUAACACAUGCAAGUCGACGAAGCACGUCCCUCGAGGCCUUCGGGCGAGGGGGCAUGACUUAGUGGCGACGGGUGAGUAACGCGUGGUAACCUGCCCUAUACUGGGGGAUAACAGCUAGAAAUGGCUGCUAAUACCGCAUGAGCGCACAGUCCCGCAUGGGACAGUGCGGAAACUCCGGUGGUAUAGGAUGGACCCGCGUCCGAUCAGGCUGGUUGGUGGGGUAACGGCCCACCAAGGCGACGAUCGGUAGCCGACCUGAGAGGGUGACCGGCCACAUUGGGACUGAGACACGGCCCAAACUCCUACGGGAGGCGGCAGUGGGGGAUAUUGCACAAUGGGGGGAACCCUGAUGCAGCGACGCCGCGUGAGUGAAGGAGUACUCCGGUAUGUAAAGCUCUAUCAGCAGGGAAGAAGCAAGACGGUACCUGACCAAGAAGCCCCGGCUAACUACGUG